rnacentral:rRNA from 1 species
GACGAACCGUCCAAACGUUAUUCGGAAUCACUGGGCUUAAAGGGUGCGUAGGCGGCGCGGAAAGUUGGGUGUGAAAUCCCUCGGCUCAACCGAGGAACUGCGCCCAAUACUACCGUGCUCGAGGGAGAUAGAGGUGAGCGGAACUUAGGGUGGAGCGGUGAAAUGCGUUGAUAUCCUAAGGAACACCGGUGGCGAAAGCGGCUCACUGGAUCUCUCCUGACGCUGAGGCACGAAAGCUAGGGUAGCGAACGGG